AGCAGUUUCACUGCUGUAGUGGAAGCAAAACCCCGGUAGGAGUAUAUUCAGCAGAGAGUUGGAGGAAAGGAACUGGAGACCCUGAAUCUAGAAAACACUUCCAAGGAGCUUUGCUGUAAGACCCCUGGAAUUAAACUAACCCAAAGAGACCAGCAGAACACUCCAGUUAAUAGCAGGUUAGGAAUAAAAUGGAAGAGGGCCGACCCUUCUCAGUUCCUCCAUCCUGCCGCCUAGACCAUUGUGUCAUUCCUGGAGCACCAGCAUUUGUCUUGCAACAUGAGAAUUAGAGCGACAUCCUAAAGAUGGUGGAAUAGAAUGUUAGAAGGGGUCUGGGUCUCUGACAACUUGAUAAAUACCAUUACAGCCCUGAACUACUUAUCUCUUUUAUAUAAGAAAUAAACUCUAUAUUGUGUAAGUCUGUUAUAUUGGCCUUUUCUGUUAUGUGCAGCCAAACAAAUCCUAAAUAAUGUAUUUCUGGAACUGAGAUUCUAUGCCAUGGCAGCUACCUGUUUACAUAACCCUAUCACUCUGUAAUGUAUUGUUUUUUUAUUACCUGCUUCCUCCCACUAGAAUGUAGGCUCCUUAAAGUCAGGGACUUUGCCAGUUUUGCUGUCUCCUCAGCCCCUAGAACCGAGUUCAUCAAGUAGUAGGGGCUCAAUAAAUACUUGCUA
rnacentral:lncRNA from 1 species